rnacentral:lncRNA from 1 species
UACCGGCAGAUGGAGGAGAGGAUCACCUGCCCCAUCUGCAUCGACGACCAGAUCAAGCUGGUGUUCCAGUGCGGGCACGGCUCCUGCCCGGACUGCAGCACGGCGCUGACCGUGUGCCCCAUCUGCCGCCAGGCCAUCCGCGAGAGGAUCCACAUCUUCGUCUGAGGGAGGAUCCGCCUCUUCCUCUGAGGGAGGAUCCAGUCUUUGUCUGAGGGAGGAUCCUCAUCUUCGUCUGAGGGAGGAUCUGCAUCUUCGUCUGAGGGAGGAUCCACAUCUUCGUCUGAGGGGGAAUCCACAUCUUCGUCUGAGGGAGGAUCCACAUCUUCGUCUGAGGGAGGAUUCUGCUCCUCCCUGUGCCCCAUCUGCCUCCAGGCCGUCCCAAGAGGAUCCCCAUCUUUGGCUGAGUGAGGAUGCUGCUCCUCCCUCCACCCAGGGCAGGAUCCCCAUCUUUGUCUGAGUGAGGAUCUGCUCCUCCCUGUGUCCCACCUGCCUCCCGGCUGUCUGGGAGAGGAUCCACAUCUUCCUCUGAGGAUUCUGCUCCUCCCUGGCCCUGACUGU